rnacentral:misc_RNA from 1 species
GGUACAAAGAGAUUUUCCAGUUCUCUGAUUUUCAAGGCACCGAUUCCUUUUGCCAUUAGUGACUGCAACGUAGAGAGUUUUGGUCUUCGAUAAACGAUGAACUGGUGUUCAUUCUCAGGUUGAAAGAAAGGCAGAGACUUGCAGAGCUGUUGCGGCGCUGUUCGAAAAAAAUGUUACUUCAUCAAGGAGUGCAAGUGCAUGGAGCCGUAGCAAAACAAGGACUCGGAUUUGAUUUGAUGCUGAACAAUGAUCUUAUAGACGUGUAUGGGAAAUGUGUUAGAAUGGACGCUGCUUGUGCUGUGUUUGACAGAAUGCUUGAAAGAAACGUGGUUUCUUGGACAGCUCUUAUAUAUGGACACAUACAGAAUGGCAAUGCUGAAGAGUCAUUAUUUCUAUUCUCUCAAAUGGGAUUAUCUGGUGUAAAAUCGAACGAGUUUACAUUUUCAAUGAAUCUUAAAGCGUGUGGUAUGUUGAAUCUUUCUGACAUUGGGAUACAGAUUCAUGAUAUUUGUGUGAAAACUAGAUUUGACAUGAUGAUUGUGGUGGGCAAUUCUAUCAUUGAUAUGUACUCGAAACAAUUUUGUCUUCUCCGUAUUACUAUAUCUCUAGAAUCUAAUUUUCUAUAAG